AAAUUUUAGAACAAGUGGAAUAUACACAGCCAGAGACAGGAAGGUGAUAUGGAGUUUGGCCUACUUCAAGGAGGUCCAUGCCCAACAUUCCUUGAUUGUCUUCUAAGCAGAGGAGGAAAUUACAUGUGGAGAAUUCUUAAGAUAUUCAAGAGAGGCUACAGCUGGCAGAAGAAAAGGGAUUAGCAUUAUCAAAUGUUAUGGCCUUCUUCACUGAACUGAUGGACAUUCA